GGGGGCGACUUGGCUUCGACGUGGGUCGCGAAACCUUUGGUGCAUGCCGAGUACGAUGCUAACUCGUAAAAAUUGUGUCAACUUAAAGUAGUUGCAAACGACGAAAACUACGCUCUAGCGGCUUAAUCCCGCUAGCCCUUGCCAAUGCUGUGCUUGUGCACGUUGUCCAAGGGUCACUAUCACAAGAUCGUGCGCUCUGGCUUGUCUGUGGUCAGACCAUUAAAACCAAAGCAGAAUCGCCGGGUGUCUUCCUAUCCUCACAGGUAGCAUCAGGUUAAAACAAAGCUGAGGAUAAGCAUGUAGAUCUAAAGAUGUAGGUCUUGCGGACGGGGGUUCGAUUCCCCCCGCCUCCACCA
rnacentral:tmRNA from 1 species